rnacentral:snRNA from 1 species
GUGGUACUUUGACAGCACAUAUACUAAAACUGGAACAAUACAGAGAAUGUCAUGGUCCUGCACACAGAUAACAUGCACAUUUGUGAAGCAUUUUGUAUUAUU